UACAGACGUUGGGAUUGAUUACACAGUUAACUUGGUUAUUUUGCUAUUUAAGCUGCUUUUGUUUGGUAGUGUAAAGCAAAACUAAUUCUAACAUUUGGUUUUGGUUUUGGGAGCCAGCAGCAUACUGCUCGAUUUAUUCUAUUGAGGGGGGAGAACGAUGAGCUGUUCACCGGGGUGAAAUACUCAGCAAGUGUGGCUUGGGGGACAAUUCUGGAGAAAAUAGGCCUGCAGGGGAAGGUGACUCCCCUGCAGGCAAAGAAAAAAUGGGACAAUUUAAAAAAAUAUAUAAA